rnacentral:lncRNA from 1 species
UCACUGGGCUUGCUGCUGCAGCUCAGGGUCAGUUGGAGUUUGGCUGGUCUAGGCUGGGUGCAGCUGGUGCUCAGUUUGCUGCACCUGUCUUCUCCUCUUCCUGGAAUAGCAGGAAAGCCCAGUCACAGCUUCCUGUGGCCACAGAAGAGGCACAAAGGAGCCACCUGAGAACAAUUUACCAAGCUGCAUUUUCAAAAGCUCCCCCAGACUGCUACAAAGAGACUCAGCUGGAGGGGAGAAAACUUGAAACUCCAGGAAACCCUGACCCUGUGGAUGGCCCUGUCAAUCUGCAUGUCCCAUGCUGGGACAGAGGUGAGUCCAGAAGUCCAGGCAAAGUUAUCAAGAUGAGGGUAAACUUUCUACUGCUAUACAGCCCUUGGGGGCCGGGGUCCCCCAAGCUGUCAGGAUGCCUCAGCCCAGACCCUUGGAAUUAA